GGAGUUGGGAAGGUGUUCUUGGAGUAUGCUGAUGUUGAAGGUGCUACGAAAGCCCGAGCAGGGAUGAAUGGAAGGAAGUUUGGUGGAAAUCAAGUUGUAGCUGUGUUUUUCCUGGAGAACAAGUUUUAUCAGUGUGAAUAUGAUGCCUAAUCAUUGUCUACUUUCUUAUGUUGAUUUGUUAAUGGAGUUUCAUAAGGAUUAGUAUUUAUUCUAGCUAGCAAAACAAAUACAUUACUGAUGUGAAAGAAGUUCAAUUACGAAUGUUUAGAGAAUGAUGGGCUUGAGAUACUGGAGAAAAAUGAAGAAAGAAAGAGAAUGGGCAAUUACCACAAGCCCAAGUACAACAUAACUUCCCAGAAUAACAUGUUCAUUUGUUGUGCUAGCUAGAAUAAAUACUAAUCCUUAUGAAACUCCAUUAACAAAUCAACAUAAGAAAGUAGACAAUGAUUAGGCAUCAUAUUCACACUGAUAAAACUUGUUCUCCAGGAAAAACACAGCUACAACUUGAUUUCCACCAAACUUCCUUCCAUUCAUCCCUGCUCGGGCUUUCGUAGCACCUUCAACAUCAGCAUACUCCAAGAACACCUUCCCAACUCCUGGUGAAGCUUCACCAUCUGGCUUUGGGCGAGGGAUAACAACGUUCACCAAUGUACCAAAUUUCCCGCCUUC
rnacentral:misc_RNA from 1 species